GGGUGCGAUCAUACCAGCAUUAAUGCACUGGAUCCCAUCAGAACUCCGCAGUACAGCGUGCUUGGGCCAGAGUAGUACUGGGAUGGGUGACCUCCCGGGAAGUCCUGGUGUUGCACCCU
rnacentral:rRNA from 1 species